UAAUCUCCUGAGUCAUUGGCUGUGUUGCAACAUCAUGAGGUUUUGUGGUGUAACCUCCUGAGUUCUGUGAUGUGAUAUCCUGAGUAGAUGGCUGUGAUGUGACAUUCCGAGUUUUGGUUUGGCUACGAGUUUGAGACCAGGAUAUGUGUUCAUGGCGUGUGUCCGUUUGCUUGGUUUGGGGAUCGGGGUGUGUGGCAGCUGGUGAUGUAGCCGCGGUCUGGUUUCUGGAAGGUUACAUCACAGCCAUUC